GUUAAAUGUCAAAUAUUUAAUUCG
rnacentral:snRNA from 1 species